rnacentral:tRNA from 1 species
GCGCUCGUAGCUCAGUGGAUAGAGUACCUGGCUUCGAACCAGAGGGUCGGGGGUUCGAUUCCCUCCGAGCGCA